AUAUCCUUUCUCCCAAGCUCCUGGCACCCGUAGAAAUAUGGAACCAGAAAAAGUCAAAGGGUUGGCAACUAGGCCCUUUGAAGAAGUUGAAGAUAAACAUGCACUGGCUUGUGGGAGCAAGGGUUAAGUAUGCUGAUGAGGGAUUGAUCUUCUUGCCUCUUUAGCGGAAGAAGUGGGCUCAUAAGUUGUGAUUCACAAGGAUAAAGUUUACCAGAGGUAUGCAGAGAUGCUGAGAGAAGUGCAGGAGGAUAAUGACAAUCAUAAGAGUUUGCACGAGAAGAUGAAGCUGAAGCGAAAGAGACAGGAGGAAGCUGAUGCGGUGUCAGAAUACAGAGGCCUGGGAGUCGGGCAGAGGCCGGGGCAUGUUCUACAAUGGCAAAAACAAGUACUACAACGAUGAAGGUGGUGUUGAAGUGAAGGACCUUCUCGCACAGUCAGAUGCAUUGGCCAUGAAGCUUAUGGGGAAAAUGGACGACUAGAAUAUGAGGUCCAAAGGCCCGUGUGUUGUGGUGAACCGCAUCGCAUUGCAGUGUUUGAUUUGGUUGUUGUAGGUAAGUGAGCUAUCCACACCGG